CGGUAAAGUGAUCUCUUAAUUUUAUUCCUAAAAUAUCCUUUUUCUCAUUUCCGAUGUCUCUAUCGUUAAUGCCUAAUAACUCAGACUAAUAAAAUAUAUCUUUAUUAGAAGUUGAUAAUUUUAUUAUGUUACGAUAAUUUGGUAUAGACUAAAAGCUUAGUUUGGUACAAAAAAAAUUACUUAGUUUGGUACAAAAAAAAUUAAGCUUUAUAAAUAAAUCAUCAAAUUUGACCCAAGAAGCAUAAAGGGUAUUAUGGAAAAUAUGGAUAAAGUUUAGCAACUUACCUGGGAAAGUAAUAAUGCAAAAGAACAUAGGUAACAGAUUUCAAAGCCACUUUCCCAUGUAUAAAAGAACAUAGGUAGGUUAUUUUCCUGUCUAAAUGUUAUCUGGGAAAUACUUACCCAGAAAAAUAUAGCUUCAUGGGUAAAUCUUUUACCUACAAAAGAAC
rnacentral:lncRNA from 1 species